rnacentral:lncRNA from 1 species
CAUUAGUAUUUUUGUAUUUAUCCUUUUAUUUAUUUUUUUUUUUGUAUUUAUCCUUUAGGAGACAUACUGAGGAUGCUGCUCCUGAAAGCUGAUAACCCUGCUCAGUUGGAGGAAAUUUCCACAUUUAUGUCUUCAAAUGGUGCCACAUUCUCCUUUUUCUUUUGUGUGGUUCCUUAUAAACAUUAGGUCAGGCGUCAGCAUGGUUAGACCAUCAUGGCAAGGAAGGCUCAGCAGCAUGACUCCAUCUCAGAAACUGUUUUUUCCUAUAGUACUCAUAAGGGCUGCUGUAUUCAUAGAGGACACACAAAAGGUGAGACAAAAUCUUGACGGAACCAGUCAUAGAUUUUCUCCUGCUAUUGCUGUUACAUCAGUGGAAGCUGAUGUAGACAGAGCAUUCUGUUUCUUGGCCAACAAAGCAGAGGACGGAUGACUCUAAGAAGCACUGUCAUGGCAGGAGUUCUUCAAGUGGAAAGGUAUCUGUAUGCCCUUAGGGAAAACAAAGC